rnacentral:rRNA from 1 species
UGGGUCAGCGACUUAUAUUCUGUAGCAAGGUUAACCGAAUAGGGGAGCCGUAGGGAAACCGAGUCUUAAUAGGGCGUCUAGUUGCAGGGUAUAGACCCGAAACCGAGUGAUCUAUCCAUGAGCAGGUUGAAAGUGACGUAACAGUUACCGGAGGACCGAACCCACUGUCGUUGAAAAGCCAGGGGAUGACUUGUGGAUAGGGGUGAAAGGCUAAUCAAACUCGGUGAUAGCUGGUUCUCCCCGAAAGCUAUUUAGGUAGCGCCUCGGACGAACACCAUUGGGGGUAGAGCACUGUUUCGGCUAGGGGGUCAUCCCGACUUACCAAACCGAUGCAAACUCCGAAUACCGAUGAGUGAUAUCCGGGAGACAGACGGCGGGUGCUAACGUCCGUCGUCAAGAGGGAAACAACCCAGACCGCCAGCUAAGGCCCCAAAUUCCUAGUUAAGUGGGAAACGAUGUGGGAAGGCACAGACAGCUAGGAGGUUGGCUUAGAAGCAGCCAUCCUUUAAAGAAAGCGUAAUAGCUCACUAGUCGAGUCGGCCUGCGCGGAAGAUGUAACGGGGCUCAAACUAGGAGCCGAAGCUGCGGAUUUAAUUGUUUCAAUUAAGUGGUAGGGGAGCAUUGUGUAAGCCUGUGAAGGUGUGUUGUAAAGCAUGCUGGAGGUAUCACAAGAGCGAAUGCUGACGUGAGUAACGACAAAACGGGUGAAAAGCCCGUUCGCCGGAAGACCAAGGGUUCCAGUCCAACGUUAAUCGGGGCUGGGUGAGUCGACCCCUAAGGCGAGGCCGAAAGGCGUAGUCGAUGGGAAAUCGGUUAAUAUUCCGAUACUUGUUUAUGAUGCGAUGGAGGGACGGAGAAGGUUAUGCCAGCUUGGCGAUGGUUGUCCAAGUGGAAGGAUGUAGUUAGGUUUAGUAGGCAAAUCCGCUAGACUAUUAAUGAGAUCUGAUAGCAAGCUGUACUUGUACAGCGAAGUGGCAAAUACCCUGCUUCCAGGAAAAGCUUCUAAGCGAUAGUCAUAAAGAAAUCGUACCCUAAACCGACACAGGUGGUCAGGUAGAGAAUACCAAGGCGCUUGAGAGAACUCUGCUGAAGGAACUAGGCAAAAUGGUACCGUAACUUCGGGAGAAGGUACGCUGCCGAUGGUGAGUAGACAUGCUCUACAAAGCUAUUGGCAGUCGCAGAUACCAGGCCGCUGCAACUGUUUAUUAAAAACACAGCACUCUGCAAACACGAAAGUGGACGUAUAGGGUGUGAUGCCUGCCCGGUGCUGGAAGGUUAAUUGAUGGGGUUAGCGUAAGCGAAGCUCUUGAUCGAAGCCCC